rnacentral:rRNA from 1 species
GAUGAACGCUGGCGGCGUGCCUAAUACAUGCAAGUCGAGCGAACAGAUAAGGAGCUUGCUCCUUUGACGUUAGCGGCGGACGGGUGAGUAACACGUGGGUAACCUACCUAUAAGACUGGGAUAACUUCGGGAAACCGGAGCUAAUACCGGAUAACAUUUGGAACCGCAUGGAUCUAAAGUGAAAGAUGGUUUUGCUAUCACUUAUAGAUGGACCCGCGCCGUAUUAGCUAGUUGGUAAGGUAACGGCUUACCAAGGCGACGAUACGUAGCCGACCUGAGAGGGUGAUCGGCCACACUGGAACUGAGACACGGUCCAGACUCCUACGGGAGGCAGCAGUAGGGAAUCUUCCGCAAUGGGCGAAAGCCUGACGGAGCAACGCCGCGUGAGUGAUGAAGGGUUUCGGCUCGUAAAACUCUGUUAUUAGGGAAGAACAAACGUGUAAGUAACUGUGCACGUCUUGACGGUACCUAAUCAGAAAGCCACGGCUAACUACGUGCCAGCAGCCGCGGUAAUACGUAGGUGGCAAGCGUUAUCCGGAAUUAUUGGGCGUAAAGCGCGCGUAGGCGGUUUCUUAAGUCUGAUGUGAAAGCCCACGGCUCAACCGUGGAGGGUCAUUGGAAACUGGGAAACUUGAGUGCAGAAGAGGAAAGUGGAAUUCCAUGUGUAGCGGUGAAAUGCGCAGAGAUAUGGAGGAACACCAGUGGCGAAGGCGACUUUCUGGUCUGUAACUGACGCUGAUGUGCGAAAGCGUGGGGAUCAAACAGGAUUAGAUACCCUGGUAGUCCACGCCGUAAACGAUGAGUGCUAAGUGUUAGGGGGUUUCCGCCCCUUAGUGCUGCAGCUAACGCAUUGAGCACUCCGCCUGGGGAGUACGACCGCAAGGUUGAAACUCAAAGGAGUUGACGGGGACCCGCACAAGCGGUGGAGCAUGUGGUUUAAUUCGAAGCAACGCGAAGAACCUUACCAAAUCUUGACAUCCUUUGAAAACUCUAGAGAUAGAGUUUUCCCCUUCGGGGGACAAAGUGACAGGUGGUGCAUGGUUGUCGUCAGCUCGUGUCGUGAGAUGUUGGGUUAAGUCCCGCAACGAGCGCAACCCUUAAGCUUAGUUGCCAUCAUUAAGUUGGGCACUCUAGGUUGACUGCCGGUGACAAACCGGAGGAAGGUGGGGAUGACGUCAAAUCAUCAUGCCCCUUAUGAUUUGGGCUACACACGUGCUACAAUGGACAAUACAAAGGGCAGCUAAACCGCGAGGUCAUGCAAAUCCCAUAAAGUUGUUCUCAGUUCGGAUUGUAGUCUGCAACUCGACUACAUGAAGCUGGAAUCGCUAGUAAUCGUAGAUCAGCAUGCUACGGUGAAUACGUUCCCGGGUCU